CAUUAGUAUUACCGUGGUAAUACAUAUAAAUGCAAAACUUAAGCAUCAUAAUUUGCAGGAAUUUGUAAGUAGUUAGGAUAAAGUUUUGAGGACUAAAUUGAAAAUUAUCCGAAAGGGAUAAGAUUCCCCAAUUUCUCCUCACGUGCUGUAGGGAUUUGUCGUUAGCGCCGCAUUAAGAAGAACGCCAUGACGUGCCGGACACCGACGCCGAGCCGAAGGCCAUGGAAGUCGCACCGCUAGAGGGCAUCGCGGCCGCGGGCGCGUGCGGUAGGGCAUCCAAGGGCAACCAUGACGGAGGGCGUUGCUAUGCCGCGCAUCACACAUGGAAGAGCGCUUCACCGGGUGGUGCCAGAUCUGAGGACGACGACCUGGGGCGCUGCGUCUGGAGGCAGCGCCGGCUGCAUUGGGCGACAAAGUUUGGAUUGCGUUGGUUGUGCAUGAAUCAUCAUGUCUAGCAUUGCCAAACGGCCGGUAGCAGCGCUACAAGCGCGCAGGAGGGGGGGGGGGCGAAGCCUCGCAUGGUCGGAGUCAUUGCGCGUGCUGGAAGCCACCCGAUCGAUGGGAAGCCGUCGUCUUCUCGAUGUGGCAUCGCCGUUCCGCAAGAAGAUGCCGCCGAAUCUGUGAGCCGCCGCUGCCGUCGGCAGUUAUGUGACGGGUUGAAGCGCUUAAGAGCGCCGCUUCUAUGCGCCUGCAACGCUCGCUAUUGGUGUGCCAUCGGAGCGGUGUCGAGGCCGGGCGUGUUCGCGUCCUUCGCGCCGGAAAGCUCCGCCACCAGGGUCGUGUAUUAGGCCGAUGGCCAAGGACUUUGGUGCCAUUGAUUUCUUUCUUUUUUUUUGUUGUCGUUCUUGUUCUUCUUGGCCUAAUUGCUCUUUGGAAGAGGCGUGCGUGAUAACGUGUUUAAUAAAACGAGAUUGAAUGACGGCGAA